rnacentral:rRNA from 1 species
UACAGAGGGUGCGAGCGUUGUCCGGAAUCACUGGGCGUAAAGGGCGCGUAGGUGGUGGCUUAAGCGUGCGGUGAAAGCUCGGGGCUCAACUCCGAGUCGGCCGUGCGAACUGGGCUCACUGGAGCAUAGUAGAGGCAGGUGGAAUUCCGGGUGUAGCGGUGGAAUGCGUAGAUAUCGGGAGGAACACCAGUGGCGAAGGCGGUUGCCUGGGGCUUUGCUGACGCUGAUGCGCGAAAGCGUGGGGAGCGAUCCGG